rnacentral:rRNA from 1 species
UACAGAGGGGGCGAGCGUUGUUCGGAAUUACUGGGCGUAAAGGGCGCGUAGGCGGCCCGCUAAGUCGAACGUGAAAUCCCCAGGCUCAACCUGGGAACUGCGUCCGAUACUGGCAGGCUUGAAUCCGGGAGAGGUGAGUGGAACUGCGAGUGUAGAGGUGAAAUUCGUAGAUAUUCGCAAGAACACCAGUGGCGAAGGCGGCUCACUGGCCCAUAACUGACGCUGAGGCACGAAAGCGUGGGGAGCAAACAGG